rnacentral:lncRNA from 1 species
UUUGUAUAUUUAACAAAUGUUUGGUAAUUUGUUUUUGCAAUUUUGAUCCCUUUUCGGUUUCGUACACGACUUGGUGAGUCCACUCGGACUCGCUGAGUUGUGCCGCUUAGGUAGGGGUCGAGUCCUGAACCUGAGCUGAGCUUUCGCACAUCAAGAAAGAUACAUCAACCUCAAUCUUAUUUCCAUAAUAAAAAUAUUUAGUAUUUAUUAGAGUUAGUUGGAUUCUAUAAAUCCUUUCCAACUGCUUACUUAGAUUGAUGGGCUAAUUGAAGGAAACAUUAGGGGAAGCUUCAUGGUGCAUCUCCCUUAGUGGGUUGAGGCUGGAUUUCCUAUGCAAUGCGGACUUUGGGGUAUGGAGAACGUCACCAUCAAUAUCCUUAACCUCUUAGAAAGUUCCUUUUGGAUAGUCUAUGAUGGAGGCUUUGAUUCCCUUUGGCAUUUCUUUCACUUUUUCAGAACCUGAAUCUUCUCACCCAUCACCAAGUUUGACUUUGAGGUUCAUUUUGGUUGAACCUGUAAUUUUCCAGCCUUCCAAACAACCCAAAUUAUUUGAAAAAAACAAAAGGAGGGGGUGGGUUUCCAGUCAAGUUUGACCCAUGUUCAGUAGCUACUGAAACUCAGCUGCUGCCGAUGAUCCAUACGACUAUAGAAAGAGUAUUGUUAAAAGAAUGCCAUGGCGAUCCAAUCAAUGUGUGGAUCGCGAUGGAAAGAGAGUGGGAUCAGUAUUGUUUAAAAAAUGUCAUGACCGUCCAAUCAAUUGGUGGAUGGUGACGGAGCGAGUGACAUGACCCAAUUAGUUACCUUGCUUAGGAGGUUGGAGGUUCAGUUAGUUGGACUACAUAGCCCCAUGACCGUUCAAUCAAUGGGUGGAUGGUGACGGAAAGAGAGUGGGAUCCAUAACAACAAUGACAUGAUCCAAUUUGUUACUUUGAACGAGAGUGGGUCCCACUCUCUCCAUCAUUGCGCAUCUAUUAUCGCAUAGACUGGGUUCAUCAUUGUAUACUUUACCUUGUUUAGGAGGUUGAAGGUUCAGUUAGUUGGACAACAUAGCUCCAUCCUUGUGUGGAAAAUUUGGCAUCUAUGAAGGGUCUAUAACAUACCCCAUUUGCUUUCGAGUGAACUAGGGUCAUUUGAUAGAAGCCUUUCCAAGGUCUCUCGACCCUCUCUUUGGUUGAGAAAUUUACGGUCUUUCCCUUCUAUGGGGGGGAAUGAGUUAGGGUAGAUAUGUUUCAGAUCCUCAGUCUUCUCUUCCAGGAGAAGAGGGGCAUGUGGUUAUCUCCACUCCAGGAGAGAAACCAAAACGUCUCUUUGUAGGAGCAACAUGGCGAAAGAUACUCUGCCUUGAUCAGUUGCUUUUUGGAAAUCUAUUGUUUUCUUAAAAUAUUAAUUUUAUGAAUUAAAUUGAUAUUCAAAUUUGACAAAACUUAUCAUUCAAUUUAGUGCCAGUCUGUUACUCUCCUUUCAAGAGAAAGCUUGGGUUGAGUCCUUCUGACUAUCUUCACUUGCAUAGAAACUACCAUUUUUGUAGCUCCAGUGAGUAGUACUUAUGUCGUACACUUGUAUAUCCUACAUGCAAAUAUAUCCAAUUAAUACAUUUCAAAACACACAUACAUGCAGACACGCACCCUUAAUGGCAGGCAGCUCUUUUGUAGCAAGUCCUGCAUAGCUGAAAUUAGGGAUUAAAACUCAUCUUAUCCAACAAAAAAUACAUUUUAUCUUAUAUAUUUUCUUCAUUUGAUAUCCUGUAUGGAACAUGCAUCUCUAAAUGAUUUGCACAAAGAAGUAAAACUAGCAAUACUUAUCAUUAAUAAGUGACGGCAAUCAGUUUUGUUUGUCAAGAGUAUUUCUUAUUUUGUAUCUAGACGUGCCAUUGAUUCAAGACCUAUCAAGUACUUGAUUCUCAGCCAAGUGCCUUGCUAACUUAAAUAUAUAUUCUACGAAGUAUAUCAACUUUCUAAGCUUUUUUGGCUGUCCAGAGUGGCACCCCACAGUAUGGUCUGUGAUACUUGUUG